rnacentral:rRNA from 1 species
GACGAACGCUGGCGGCGUGCUUAACACAUGCAAGUCGAGCGGUAAGGCCCUUUCGGGGGUACACGAGCGGCGAACGGGUGAGUAACACGUGGGUGACCUGCCCUCAGCUCUGGGAUAAGCCUGGGAAACUGGGUCUAAUACCGGAUAUGACUCCAUGACGCAUGUUGUGGGGUGGAAAGCCUUGUGCGGCUGAGGAUGGGCCCGCGGCCUAUCAGCUUGUUGGUGGGGGAUGGCCUACCAAGGCGACGACGGGUAGCCGGCCUGAGAGGGCGACCGGCCACACUGGGACUGAGACACGGCCCAGACUCCUACGGGAGGGCAGCAGUGGGGAAUCUUGCGCAAUGGGCGAAAGCCUGACGCAGCGACGCCGCGUGAGGGAUGACGGCCUGG